rnacentral:rRNA from 1 species
ACGCACGCUGGCGGCACGCCUCACCCCUGCAAGUCGCACGGACUUAAAAGAGCUUGCUUUUUUAAGUUAGUGGCGGACGGGUGAGUAACACGUGAGCAACCUGCCUCUGAGAGGGGGAUAGCUUCUGGAAACGGAUGGUAAUACCCCAUAAAAUAUAAAUAUCGCAUGAUAGAUAUAUCAAAGAAAUUCGCUCAGAGAUGGGCUCGCGUCUGAUUAGAUAGUUGGUGAGGUAACGGCUCACCAAGUCGACGAUCAGUAGCCGGACUGAGAGGUUGAACGGCCACAUUGGGACUGAGACACGGCCCAGACUCCUACGGGAGGCAGCAGUGGGGAAUAUUGCACAAUGGAGGGAACUCUGAUGCAGCGAUGCCGCGUGGAGGAAGAAGGUUUUCGGAUUGUAAACUCCUUUUAUCAGGGACGAUAAUGACGGUACCUGAAGAAAAAGCUCCGGCUAACUACGUG